rnacentral:lncRNA from 1 species
AUGAAGGACUUGCAUGGUAAGUUGAUGGAGAAAGAUGCCAUGAUUAAAGUCCUACAGCAGCGUUCCCGCCGAGAUCCCACUCCUCUACGUCCUGCCAGCUCUGUGCCCUCCAUUCCCAUAGCAACUGGACUACACACACGUCACUCAUCACAGACCGAUCACAGAUACCAGCACAGCUGGAAAGAAUCUCCAUCCAGCCAGGCUAAAGGCCAAGAAGUUCGAGGACAGAAGAUGCCCCUACCUGACCUAGAUCUGGUGGAGAUCCUUAUCUGAAAGAACAAUCCUGGAAGUAGCAUUCUUACAGAUAGAACAGUGCUUAAGAAAGAGUGAGGGAGUGAAAAACAAAAUAUGAGUAAUGGAUCACAUACAACAGACAGACAGAAAGGAGAGAUUACAGAAAGGAACGAAGGAAUGCAGUGCAAAGUAAAAGCUAGAAUUCAGUAUUGUGCCUCCAAAAUACUGAAUUGGAUAAUUGAUUCUAAUUUUAUUCUGUCCAUUUUGGACCCUGAAACAACAAUGACUAUGAUAUUUGACCUGGCCUAUGCAUGUAUAAUGUCUUAAAUUGCAUUAUGUCAGAUUAUCAGCUGCCUCAUAAGUGCGUUCCACAAAGCUGUAACAUUUUCUGUUUUAAAGGAGGGGAACCCCCCCUCCCCCCCCUCAGAUUUAGGAAUUGGGUAUAUAGUAUGUAGCGUAUGAGCAGUUCAUUCAUUCAUUGGUUCUGAAUUAAUGAAUCAUGGCUCGGUGAAUCUAAAACAAUGCACAUUCCUUGGCUAAAACCCAAAGCUUUUAGCCCCUGCACUAAUGCAGGUAAAUCAAACUCUCUGCAAGCUGAAUGGCCGGCCUGGUGCCAGCAUGGCUGGGUUUAAAUUCCUGACCAGAUCGUAAAACUUUAUUACCCCAAACUGGGAGAAACAGAAAAAGCCCAGAUCGCUAGGAAUUCUUGUAAGGAAAAAGGAAAGUAAAUAUAUUCUAAAUGUAUUGACGGUAUUUCCUUUUUGUGCUUCGAUGUCUUCCAUAUCAAAUUGGAGUAUCUACAAUUUUAUGUGUUAAUCAAACUUUAAAUG